GACGGAGGGUGCUAGCGUUGUUCGGAAUCACUGGGCGUAAAGCGCACGUAGGCGGAUUGCUAAGUCAGGGGUGAAAUCCUGGAGCUCAACUCCAGAACUGCCUUUGAUACUGGCGAUCUUGAGUCCGGGAGAGGUGAGUGGAACUGCGAGUGUAGAGGUGAAAUUCGUAGAUAUUCGCAAGAACACCAGUGGCGAAGGCGGCUCACUGGCCCGGUACUGACGCUGAGGUGCGAAAGCGUGGGGAGCAAACAGG
rnacentral:rRNA from 1 species